rnacentral:sRNA from 1 species
ACACGAGAAGGGAGGUGGUUCGGCAGAUGUAUGACAACCGGACGCGUGAGGUGACUGCGGCCUAACGGUCGCCGUUUCCACGACACGUGGCGCGCCGGCUCCGCCGGCCAAUCCCAAGCAGUCACCCGAUCCGCGGGCCGCCGGUAUCGUCCGGCCGGCUCCCCGGCGGGCGCGCACCGCGCCCACCGGGGGCUCAGGCCCGCGGAUCGUUUUUU